GGUCUACUAGCAACACAGGCCUGGGGCAGGGCAGUCUUGUCUUGGAUAUGCUGAGCGUUAGAAGCCCACUGGGAGCAUUAAAUACAGAUACUGGGUAGGCCACUGUGUGUGCGAAUCCGAGGUUCAGACAAGGAUAGGGCCAAUGAAAUGCACCUGGAAGCCCCAGGAUUUAUGACGUGCAGCCCCACCCCCACCCACGGAGACUCCUCAGAGCAUGCGUGAAGGCAGAAGCCGUCUCCGGGCAGCGGCAUCCCAAACUUUAGAAGUCAAGAAAGUGAGGUGGAGUUGGCAAAGCCGUGGGGAGGGAAAAGCGGCAGAGCAUGGGUCUCCCAGAGCCAGGGAGCAGAUGAGAAAUCUGAGCCCUGCUGUGGAUUCAACAUCGUUCCAGCUUUGACUCAGUUCAAAACUUUGUCCUUGACUCCUCCUUUCAAGUAAAUGCCACAGCUUUGUCUGGGAGUUUACUGAUGCAAACUGGUGUUAGCUCAGCAGCUUCAAACUACAUUCCACCCUCAACCUGACUGGGGUUCACCUUGAACUAGAGACCUGGCCUGGUGGGGGGACAAGGGGCUUCUGCAGUUCCGAAGGUGGAAUCAGCAAGGCCCUGUCAUCCCUCCUCCUGAAUGUCCUCAACCUGUUCCUACGUAGAUCUCUCUUACAUCCUAAAGAUCCCAAUGCCACCUCCUCGGGAAGGCUGGUUCUGAGCUGUAAGAGGGACAUCUCGGUUAAGGUUAUGGCUCGGUAACAGAGCAUUUGCCUGGCACACACAAAGCCCUGGGUGUAAACCUUACUACUGUAACAAUCAAACUGUAGAGUGGUAGACACCAGUCUCCUGCCACUCUCUACGUAGUCUGUGCUUAGUGUUUCUUGCCAGCAUUUGGACGCAGUUCCUGGCCAGUGACCUCCUUCCAGCCAGUGAGUGUCUCUCCCAGAAUGCAAGUGCUCAUCAAAACAUGAGGCAGGGACCCCGCAUCAACCUUGCUAUAGCUUUGUGUCCGAGGUCCAGGCUCAUGCACAGUGCGCCACAGUUUGGGCUCCUGUAUGGCCGGAUACCUUGAGUCCUUGCUCCUCUGACCUGCACCUUGCUCAUCAAGUUCUGCUAGGUAGUAGCUGAGUGAUGUGGACCAUGAAUCGUCAGUUCUCAAGAAAAAGGUUCCACUUACUGGCAGCGGCCCUGACAAAGGACCGCUAUGCCAUCCCUUUCUGAACAUUGGUGGUGCCUCUUCUAUUGGGAAGACGCUGCCACUUUUGGAAGUUUUUUUUUAUUUUAUCAGAAAAGAGAUAUGUGAGGCCACCAACAAAAUAAAAACAUAAUUGUCUUUCAUAAAGAGAAAAAAAAACUUCAAAAUGACCAACAGCCUGUUUAUUGCUAGGACAGACAACCGAUUCAUUGAAUGCCUUCCAGUAUCUUUUUCAAAGCGGCCACAAAUGGCUCUUAUUAAAGGGUUAUAAGAAGCUGUGUUAUCUGGCAUUUAACCAAACAGAGGGUUCUAAAGAGAGAAUUUCUGAGAUUCCACCCGGACAAAUCUCAAGGCUUAACUGGGAUGAAGAGGAAGCUAACCACAAUCCAAGAGAAGAUUGGUAUUCAACAGAGAAGUUUCGAGGGAUGAACUUAUCUGUUCAGGGAACUUAAUUUGUCUUACUUUGUAUAAGGGAGGCUUUGUCUCAAAGGUUACUGUUUGCUGGGCAGCAGUGCAUUUCUGGACUGUACUUUAUAUGUUAUAGACACAUUCUAUAAAUAUAAAAGGGGUGGUGCCUUUUUCUCCUUUUUCUCCUUA